CCAAUAUUCACUCUAUCAUGCUGAUGGAAAGCCUGUACACGAGUAUUUGGAUAACAAAAAGCGGAGGUUGUUUAUCUUGGAGAGGCAUUGGGGACUUCGCGAGAGGAUUUUGUUCUAUAGCUAUACAACAGUUACUGGUUGGCCCUUAUUGUUAGCUCUAGUCGCAGGAGAAGCUGCCAUACAAGUUUGAGCUAACGGCCCCUACUGAUGCAGUGAAAAAAGUUCUUCAAAUUUUAGAAGGCAUAUAUGAACCACAAGGAAUUAACGUCCCAAAGCCCAUCCAUUCAAAUUUGGUUCCUACUCCAUCUUUGCGCUAGCCAGCCACCAUGCAUGGAUCAUUUCUCACUGGGCUUAGAGAAGCUGCAAAGAUGGCCGAUCACGCUAGUAUUAGAAAAUUGCAUUUGAAGGCUGAGAAGAGAAAAACCGAGAUAAGGUGUUGUAAAGUCAAGAGUAGCCACUAUCAAGUAAAAAAUAGUC